GAUGAACGCUGGCGGCGUGCCUAAUACAUGCAAGUCGAACGAAGAUCUAGCUUGCUAGAUCUUAGUGGCGAACGGGUGAGUAAUACAUAAAUAAUCUGCCAAUAUGACUGGGAUAACUAUUGGAAACGGUAGCUAAUACCGGAUAGGUUGAUUGGAGGCAUCUUUGAUUAAUUAAAGUAGGAUUUCUACACAAAUGAAUGAGUUUAUGGCGGAUUCGUUAGUUGGUGGGGUAACGGCCUACCAAAACGAUGAUCCGUAGUCGACCUGAGAGGGUGACCGGCCAAACUGGGACUGAGACACGGCCCAGACUCCUACGGGAGGCAGAAGUAGGGAAGUUUCGGCAAUGGGCGCAAGCCUGACCGAGCAACGCCGCGUGAGUGAUUAAGGCCUUCGGGUUGUAAAGCUCUGUUGUAAGGGAAGAACAUUCAGGAUAGGAAAUGAUCUUGAACUGACGGUACCUUACCAGAAAGCCACGGCUAACUACGUGCCAGCAGCCGCCGCCGUAA
rnacentral:rRNA from 1 species